GUGGCCUUCCCGCGCCCGCCCGUCGGGGCAGAGCCGCCGGCCUGAGACGGAGGGCGCUGCUGAGCCCAGGGGUUGAGAGUCCUGGUUCCUGCUGUGGUCCCGGAGCUCCACCUGAGACCGGAGGGAAGCCGUCUGCCCUAUCAAGGUUAUGCUAGUCUUAUGAAACAAGGAGGAGAGUGUUCCUGGUUUACCCCAAGAGUUCCUGUGAGAUUGCUGUUUACUUCCCUGGCUUUUUGGAAGAAUUGAUUGGCAAAACAAGUAAAGCAUUUCCCACUGCUAGGAAUUUAGUGAGGCCAGCAGACUCUACAAUUGGCACCCGCAGAGCUGCUG